UGGCCCGCCCACUGAAAUUUUAAAUGGCUGNGGUAAUCUGACCGUGCUAAGGUAGCAUAAUCAUUAGUUUUUUAAUUGAAAACUGGAAUGAAAGGUUUGAUGAAAAAAUAACUGUCUCUUUUUUAAUAAAUUGAAUUUUAUUUUUACAGUAAAAAAGCUUAAAUUAAAUUAAAAGACGAGAAGACCCUAUAGAGUUUUAUAUAUAAAUAAUUAUAAAUUUGUAGAAUAACUAUAAUUAAAAAUAUAUUUGAUUGGGGUGAUUGGAAAAUUUACAAAAUUUUUCUUUUUAUUUUUACAAUUAUACUUGAUUUUCUGAUCCAAAAAUUUUGAUUAUAAAAAAAAAUUACCUUAGGGAUAACAGCGUUAUUUUUUUAAAAAGUUCAAAUUAAAAAAAAAGAUUGCGACCUCGAUGUUGGAUUAAAAUUAAAUUUCGGUGAAGAAGCUGAAAUAUUAGGUCUGUUCGACCUUCAAAAUUUUACA
rnacentral:rRNA from 1 species